AACCAAACGCAGUGGGUCCCGGAAGGAAAACCCUAGACCCUGAGAACACGUUCAAAUAAGACCGCACAGACGGAAUGUCAUCAACUAUAUUAUACGCGCUCAUUGCAUGAAAGCUAACAACAUAAUAACCUCUGGCCUUCACCAAUUUACUAAAACAUGGCGGUCGACGUUAGCGUGAGGGAGUCAACAAUCGUCAAGCCGACGGAGGAGACGCCGAAGCAGGUUCUGUGGAUGUCCAACUUGGACUUGGUAAUUCUGGGCAAGCACACCCCCAGUGUAUAUUUCUACCGGCGAAGCCAAACCGGCAGCCAUCAGGGCAACUCCUUCUUCGACCCGGCGGUGCUCAAGCGCGCCCUCGCCAAGGCCCUCGUGCCCUUCUACCCAUUGGCGGGGCGCCUCCAGCAGAACGAAACCGGCCGUUCCGAAAUCAACUGCAAUGGGGAGGGGGUGCUGUUUGUUGUAGCGGAGACCACCUCCGUCCUCGAUGAUUUUGGCGAUUUUGCGCCGACUCCUGAGUUCCGGAAGCUCAUCCCCGUCAUUGAUUAUUCUGCUGGGAUUUCCACAUAUCCCCUCUUGGUGGUGCAGGUCACAUACUUCAAAUGCGGUGGAGUGUCACUUGGCGUCGGCCUGGAACAUCGGGUGGCAGAUGGGUGCUCAGGUCUCCAUUUGUAAAUACAUGGUCUGAUAUCGCUCGCGGACUUGACCUUACAAUCCCACCUUUCAUCGACCGGACAUUACUUCGUGCCCGAGACCCACCUCAGACAACAUUCGACCACGUUGAAUACCAACCUGAUCCGCCCUUAAAAACUCCUCCGCCGACCACAAAAGAUGGUGAUGCUGAGAGCACAACAGUCUCCAUUUUCAGAUUGACGCGGGAGCAACUAAGCGUCUUGAAAGCCAGGUCUAAGGAAGAAGGGAACUCAAUCAACUACAGCACAUAUGAGAUGUUGGCAGGCCAUGUUUGGAGAUGUGCAUCCAAGGCACGUAAUCUUCCCGAUGACCAAGUGACCAAACUGCAUGUUGCGGUUGAUGGACGGUCCAGACUGCAACCCCCACUCCCACCCGGUUUCUUUGGCAAUGUGGUUUUCGCAGGCGCACCAUUUGCAACAGCGGGGGAUCUCAAAUCGAAACCAACAUGGUAUGCUGCAAGCCAAAUACAUGAUGUUGUGGUGCGCAUGAACAACGAUUACCUUAGAUCAGCUCUUGAUUAUCUUGAGGUUCAACCUGAUCUGUCGGCCCUUGUUCGCGGAGCUCAUACUUUUCGGUGCCCGAAACUUGGGAUAACUAGUUGGGCAAGGCUGCCGAUCUACGAUGCAGAUUUUGGUUGGGGUCGACCUAUUUUCAUGGGUCCCGGUGGAAUUGGAUACGAGGGGUUGGCUUUUGUGUUACCAAGUCCAAUAAAUGAUGGGAGUUUAUCAGUGGCCAUCUCCCUGCAGUCUGACCAUAUGAAAUCAUUUGCCAAGUUGUUAUAUGACAUAUGAGGAAAUCAAAUGCAUGAAGAAUUCGUUCAUCGGCCUGAAAAUAAAAUGACGUGUUUGUGUAUUCGUUGGUAAUGUACUCUUGUGGCGAACUUCUUGUCUAAGUUGCCUCCAUUUUCUCUUGAAAUAAAAGAUAUUGAGUUUUUUUAAAUA